ensembl:misc_RNA Y_RNA Y RNA
AGCUGUCCAAAGGUAGUGAGUUAUCUCAAUUGACUGUUCAUAGUCAGAUGCACAUCAAAUUCGUUCCACCCUUCCCUCUUCUUACCACUGCACUGACUGGUCUUAA